CUUGUGUAUUUCUCGAUGGCUUCUCUUGAGUUUGUCCCAUAAUUUGUCUGCCACUACGUCUGCGAACACAUCCCUUUUCUGCUUAAAAUUUGACGAUAAAAGUUUUACAUUUUACAAAGCAAUCAAAAUGUCUGUUGUUUUCCACCGCGGGUCCGCGCGCCGUAAACGUUUGUUCUUCAGCUUAUUUGUCAAUUUGAUCUAAUUUAUGCAUGCAUGGUUAUAU